rnacentral:rRNA from 1 species
AUUGAACGCUGGCGGCAGGCCUAACACAUGCAAGUCGAACGGUAGCACAGAGAGCUUGCUCUUGGGUGACGAGUGGCGGACGGGUGAGUAAUGUCUGGGAAACUGCCCGAUGGAGGGGGAUAACUACUGGAAACGGUAGAUAAUACCGCAUAACGUCUUCGGACCAAAGUGGGGGACCUUCGGGCCUCACACCAUCGGAUGUGCCCAGAUGGGAUUAGCUAGUAGGUGGGGUAAUGGCUCACCUAGGCGACGAUCCCUAGCUGGUCUGAGAGGAUGACCAGCCACACUGGAACUGAGACACGGUCCAGACUCCUACGGGAGGCAGCAGUGGGGAAUAUUGCACAAUGGGCGCAAGCCUGAUGCAGCCAUGCCGCGUGUAUGAAGAAGGCCUUCGGGUUGUAAAGUACUUUCAGCGGGGAGGAAGGCGAUGGAGUUAAUAGCUUCAUCGAUUGACGUUACCCGCAGAAGAAGCACCGGCUAACUCCGUGCCAGCAGCCGCAGUAA